rnacentral:tRNA from 1 species
GGGGCCGUGGCCUAGCAAGGUAUGGCGGCGGGCUCCAGACCCGCAGAGAACCGAGUCCACUCGGUUCAGCGGACGGCCCGG